rnacentral:rRNA from 1 species
CAGGAUGAACGCUGGCGGCGUGCCUAAUACAUGCAAGUCGAACGAGGGUGCUUGCACCCUAGUGGCGAACGGGUGAGUAACACGUAGGUAACCUGCCCUUAAGCUUGGGAUACCCAGAGGAAACUUUGGCUAAUACCGGAUAACAACAGAAGAGGCAUCUCUUCAGUUUGAAAGGCCCUUUACGGGGUCACUUAAGGAUGGACCUGCGGCGCAUUAGCUAGUUGGUGAGAUAACAGCCCACCAAGGCGAGGAUGCGUAGCCGACCUGAGAGGGUGAUCGGCCACAUUGGAACUGAGACACGGUCCAAACUCCUACGGGAGGCAGCAGUAGGGAGUUUUCGGCAAUGGGGGAAACCCUGACCGAGCAACGCCGCGUGAGUGAUGACGGCCCUAUGGGUUGUAAAGCUCUGUUGUAAGGGACGAAUGAUUCGCUUAGGAAAUGAAGCGGGUUUGACGGUACCUUACCAGAAAGCCACGGCUAACUACGUGCCAGCAGCGGC